rnacentral:rRNA from 1 species
GGAAACGAUAGAGAAAGCUUGCUUUUUCUAGGCGUCGACCGGCGCACGGGUGAGUAACGCGUAUCCAACCUGCCCAUCACUUGGGGAUAACCUUGCGAAAGUAAGACUAAUACCCAAUGACGUCCAUAGAAGACAUCUGAAAUGGAUUAAAGAUUUAUCGGUGAUGGAUGGGGAUGCGUCUGAUUAGCUUGUUGGCGGGGUAACGGCCCACCAAGGCGACGAUCAGUAGGGGUUCUGAGAGGAAGGUCCCCCACAUUGGAACUGAGACACGGUCCAAACUCCUACGGGAGGCAGCAGUGAGGAAUAUUGGUCAAUGGGCGAGAGCCUGAACCAGCCAAGUAGCGUGCAGGAUGACGGCCCUAUGGGUUGUAAACUGCUUUUAUAAGGGAAUAAAGUGAGUCUCGUGAGACUUUUUGCAUGUACCUUAUGAAUAAGGACCGGCUAAUUCCGUGCCAGCAGCCGCGGUAAUACGGAAGGUCCGGGCGUUAUCCGGAUUUAUUGGGUUUAAAGGGAGCGUAGGCCGGAGAUUAAGCGUGUUGUGAAAUGUAGACGCUCAACGUCUGCACUGCAGCGCGAACUGGUUUCCUUGAGUACGCACAAAGUGGGCGGAAUUCGUGGUGUAGCGGUGAAAUGCUUAGAUAUCACGAAGAACUCCGAUUGCGAAGGCAGCUCACUGGAGCGCAACUGACGCUGAAGCUCGAAAGUGCGGGUAUCGAACAGGAUUAGAUACCCUGGUAGUCCGCACGGUAAACGAUGGAUGCCCGCUGUUGGUCUGAAUAGGUCAGCGGCCAAGCGAAAGCAUUAAGCAUCCCACCUGGGGAGUACGCCGGCAACGGUGCAACUCAAAUGAAUUGACGG